rnacentral:rRNA from 1 species
AAAAAAAGUACUAACUGUCUUGGAAGCUAAGUAGGGUCGGGCCUGGUUAGUACUUGGAUGGGAGACCACCUAGGAAGAACAGGUGCUGUAGGUG